UAGCGAAGGGGGCUAGCGUUGCUCGGAAUCACUGGGCGUAAAGGGUGCGUAGGCGGGUCUUUUAAGUCAGGGGUGAAAUCCUGGAGCUCAACUCCAGAACUGCCUUUGAUACUGAAGAUCUUGAGUUCGGGAGAGGUGAGUGGAACUGCGAGUGUAGAGGUGAAAUUCGUAGAUAUUCGCAAGAACACCAGUGGCGAAGGCGGCUCACUGGCCCGAUACUGACGCUGAGGCACGAAAGCGUGGGGAGCAACAGG
rnacentral:rRNA from 1 species